rnacentral:ncRNA from 2 species
GGUCACGAGUACCAGCAUCAAGCCCCGGCUAGCUGGUCGGCAACCCUCCUCCGCGGUGGGGUGCUCCGGGUGACGACCAGGCUGCGUUCCGAGCACGGAACGCCGCAAGCGCGGAUC